rnacentral:rRNA from 1 species
CCUUAAUGCCUGGUUGGGUCGAUGGUACCCAAAAGAAUAAGCACCGGCUAACUUCGUGUCAGCAGCCGCGGUAAUACGAAGGGUGCAAGCGUUACUCGGAUUUACUGGGCGUAAAGCGUGCGUAGGUGGCUAUUUAAGUCCGUUGUGAAAGCCCUGGGCUCAACCUGGGAACUGCAGUGGAUACUGGAUGACUAGAAUGUGGUAGAGGGUAGCGGAAUUCCUGGUGUAGCAGUGAAAUGCGUAGAGAUCAGGAGGAAGAUCCAUGGCGAAGGCAGCUACCUGGACCAACAUUGACACUGAGGCACGAAAGCGUGGGGAGCAAACAGG